GAGACACCCUUAUGGGGCAGGACUUGCUUCAGUGGGGGCUUUGGCGCUCACUGAGUCUGCCCUCUGAGUGUGUCUCU
rnacentral:pre_miRNA from 1 species